UACGAAGGGGCUAGCGUUGUUCGGAAUCACUGGGCGUAAAGCGCACGUAGGCGGAUGUGUCAGUCAGGGGUGAAAUCCCGGAGCUCAACUUCGGAACUGCCUCUGAUACAGCACGUCUUGAGUUCGAGAGAGGUGGGUGGAAUUCCUAGUGUAGAGGUGAAAUUCGUAGAUAUUAGGAAGAACACCGGUGGCGAAGGCGGGUCUCUGGGCCGAUACUGACGCUGAGGAGCGAAAGCGUGGGGAGCGAACAGG
rnacentral:rRNA from 1 species